CUCAAGGAACCUUUGCCUGCAGCCUAUUUAGGGGAUGGGGUGCUGAAGGCUGCUAAGCUCAGGGUGAGAGCAGGUGAUAGCAGAGCCCUUGCGGAGGCUCACAGCCUCCUUUGUUCUUGUAUUUGCCCAGCCUUGAGCAAACAAGUCACAGUAAACUAGGCAGCAUUUGGAUAUUGGAAAUGCAAAGAGAAAGUGUCUGGAAGAACAAUAAAGGAGUCAGAGCAGAGGUGACGGGUGCGUGCAGGAGAUUACAUUGUUUAAUUCCCCUCAAAGGCAAGGUGGUUUCCCAAACGAGCAAUGGUUAUUUGAAGCCUGGCUGGAGUGGGGGGGGGGGAUGCCUGGUGUCGGUGUUUCGCUCUUUCCAACAUGAAACUCAUUUGCCUGGAUGCUGACUCAGAAUUUGCAGGCAGGACGUAGGCACCCAGUUUAGCUCAGCCCCGUGAAUGACAGAAGAAAACAUCAGGCCUCAGGAGCUCCAGCCUUGCUGGGGAGGAAAAUCAGGGAGGAGUGCUGAAGCUCAAAGAACGCAGAUUUUAUUUAUUUACUUGAGAGAGAGACAGUGAGAGAGAGCAUGAGCGAGGAGAAGGUCAGAGGGAGAAGCAGACUCCCCAUGGAGCUAGGAGUCCGAUGCGGGACUCGAUUCCGGGACUCUGGGAUCAUGACCUGAGCCGAAGGCAGUCGUCCAACCAACUGAGCCACACAGGCGUCCCUAGCCCACACUCUUGACUACUCGCCGACCUCCUUCCGUUCGGUGCCUGUUUAAAGGGCCAUUAAAAUUGGGAAUGCUCCUUCUCCGAGCCACAGCCUUCUUUGAUUCUUCUUAUCACGGUGAAACCAGACACCCAAAGUCGGAGAUGACCAAAAGGGUUUAUAUUCUCUCUCUAUUCUUGUAAGUUGCAGUGCCCAGUGACAGCCUGGAUUACCCUCACUGCUCAGGGCCCCUGCUGGAGACGGGCUUCAGUCUUCUGAACGGAAAUACCAAAAGGCAAGCAAGCAUGGUUUUUAGACUUUUCAAGGAAUUUACAAACAUCACAUAUUCCCUGCUCUGUCCGUCUUCUGUGCAGUCACUCUCCUGGAACAACAGUGGGUAGCCACGGUUGUGGUCUGUGCCACUGCCACGGGGUAAUGUUGGAGGGUCUUGGGCCCCGGAGGGGCAUCCCACAAAAUGCCCAACUUCUGACCCCAGGAGCAGCGUCUUCUGACUACAGAGUAUUCUCCCAACCCGAGUGAGCUUUCCGGCCUGAGGCUUUGUAUAUGCCCAGCAGGGUCUGUGUGCUCCUCUUGGAAGAGGCAGAAGCUGAGGCCCAGGGAGGUGAGGAACGGAGGCCAUCCAAGUGGAACCAACAGCUGCAGCAACACCGGGUUCCUUGGCCCGGAUUCCGGGAUUCUUUCCACCGACCAGCUCUCCUGUACGGACAGCUCAGGGAUCAAAGAAAGCACCUUGAUUUCAGAUUUUCUUCUCCUCUGACUCACGUUCAGGAGACUUGCCUCCUUCUAGCUUGGGCCUUGUACCUAGAAAGUUUCCAUCCGAGGCUGCUACCUCCAGGAGGAACAGAAGGUCCCAGUGGGACUUAGGAAAAAUGAGAUCAGUCCCAGGCCCCGAUCUCUCUGAAAAGUUGUUAUUGAAUUUUGUGUGUGGCCCUGACCUGGAUUUAAAGAUUUGCAAGAAGACAAAUUCCAAACAGAUGCCCAUUAGGGCCCUGACAGCCGCAGCUUAAAGAUAACAUUUACAUUCUGCUGGGGUGUGGAUCUCUCUGUUCCCCGCUCAGCCCCUCUCCCGCCUCCGGUGGGAUCAAUACCUCGGCUGAGGUUACAUGGAGGUGGCCACAUUCUUUUAAGCUGUUUGCUCAGCGCUUGGUUUGCUCUGCUAACAUGCCAGGCACUUCUUCCAACAGGCCUGUUUGCCCAGUAUUAGGGCUGUUUGCCGAAACACCUACCCCAAUCCGAGGGGGCUCAGCUUUCCAAACAGUUGGUCCCCACAUCUGUCAAUCAAUAACGCCAAUCGGGUUCCUGAUAUGGACAGCAAGUGUGGCCAAGUCUAAUAUUUGCCCAAACACCGCCCCUUCCCCCUGCACCUGACUCUCCCCCAGCCUGACAAGGCCGACAUUCGCCAAACGCACAGGCUGCUGGGAAGAGGCAAUGUUGGCAGGCAGGGAGCUGAUUCCAGGAAGGAAGGGCACAUGAACAAACACGAUCGCUCCUUUAUGGAGGUAAUUUACUGAAAUGCAUGGUGAUUACCUGCUCAUCCAGCCCUGGCGUCAUUAAAAAUGGCAGGCUUGGGGCUCUGGUUUCCCUGGGGCUGGCAGAAGAAAGUGGAUCUCAAGUUGUGAAGAUGGAGGUUGGAUCCGGGGGUUGGCUUGGCAUCACAGGUGACCAGAGGGACAUCAGGCCAUUAUCAAACCCAGGAAAUCAGCUCUGAAGAAGGACGAAAUGUUCGCGAGGGAGAACAUACCCUCAAAGGACGCUGAUAUUUAGUGGGUGCAGUUUUUUCACAGAUUCGGACUUAGUAGGUUGGUUCACAAUAUUGUGAAUGCACUAAGUGCUCCUCAGUUGUUCUCUUUCAAAUGGUUAAUUUUAUGUCAUGUGAAUAUCACCUUAGUUGGGGGGGAAAAGAAAGAAUGAAUCCCAGGGAGCCCGGGAGGUUUACAUUUGAGAGACUCUGAUGCCUAACUCGGGCUUUGGCUCAGAGUAAACGCUUAAUAAAUGUUUAUUGAAAGAACAAUCUAACAUUUGCACAGUCAACAAAGCUCUUUGUUACACAUGAGCUCAUUUCAUCCUUAAAGAGCCCAGUGAGCUGGGCAGGGAGGAGAAUUGUUCUGUUGUAAAGGAGAAACUGAGGCCGAGAGGGGAGAGUGGUUUGUGUAACGUCACAGGGCUAGUCGGGGUGGUACUGUGACUCAAGCCCAAAAGUCUCUGUGGCCAAAGUCUAUGUUUAUACAGCCUUACUGUUGUGUCUACCUCAUGACUUAACGAAUAUGACUUCCCCCUUCUUUUAGGGUAUUGAUUACUAAAAAUACUUAAAAACUA